UACGAAGGGAGCUAGCGUUGUUCGGAAUCACUGGGCGUAAAGCGCACGUAGGCGGAUGUGUCAGUCAGGGGUGAAAUCCCGGGGGCUCAACCUCGGAACUGCCUUUGAUACAGCACGUCUUGAGUCCGAUAGAGGGUGGGUGGAAUUCCUAGUGUAGAGGUGAAAUUCGUAGAUAUUAGGAAGAACACCGGUGGCGAAGGCGGCCCACUG
rnacentral:rRNA from 1 species